UUAUAUUCUCCACAGGGGGGGAUGAGAACCCCCGACCGGGGUUCGACAACUGGCGCAGCCAGUUGGACAGACCGCGAGCCUGCUAGCGGGCUGCCCCGCAGGGGCGAGCGAAGCGAGUCAAUCCCCCCCUCACCGCCA
rnacentral:sRNA from 1 species